UCCAGCAUGUCCUAUGUGGAGAGAGGAGAGCCUUCCAGAAGGACAAUCGUCUCUGCAGUAAUCCACGAAUCAGGCCUGCAAGAGUGUCCAGACGGAAUCCAUUCCUUAGUAAAAGGCACAUGGCAGCCCACCUGGAGUUUUCCAAAAAGCACCUGAAGGACUCUCAGACCAUGAGAAACAAAAUUCUCUGGUCUGAUGAGACAAAGAUUGAACUCUU